GACGAAGGGGGCUAGCGUUGUUCGGAAUUACUGGGCGUAAAGCGAGUGUAGGUGGUUAUCCAAGUUGGAUGUGAAAGCCUUGGGCUUAACCCAAGAAAUGCAUUCAGGACUGGAUGACUAGAGGACCGGAGAGGAUAGUGGAAUUCCCAGUGUAGUGGUGAAAUACGUAGAGAUUGGGAAGAACACCAGUGGCGAAGGCGGCUAUCUGGACGGUUUCUGACACUAAGACUCGAAAGCGUGGGGAGCAAACAGGAUUAGAUACCCUGGUAGUCCACGCCGUAAACGAUGGGUGCUAGACGUUGGCGAGCUUGCUCGUCAGUGUCGCAGCUAACGCGUUAAGCACCCCGCCUGGGGAGUACGGCCGCAAGGUUG
rnacentral:rRNA from 1 species